rnacentral:tRNA from 1 species
UCCCUGGUGGCUCAGAAGGUAAAGCGUCUGCCUGCAAUGCGGGAGACCUGGGUUCGAUUCCUGGGUCGGGAA